rnacentral:rRNA from 1 species
GAUUUUACGGUAGUAAAUAUUCUCUGCCAUGCAGUCGUACAAGGUAGCCAUUCAGUGUGUGCUCGAGUGGCGAACGGGUGAGUAACACGUGGGUGAUCUGCCCUGCACUUUGGGAUAAGCCUGGGAAACUGGGUCUAAUACCGAAUAGGACUGCGCUCUUCAUGGGGUGUGGUGGAAAGCUUUUGCGGUGUGGGAUGGGCCCGCGGCCUAUCAGCUUGUUGGUGGGGUAAUGGCCUACCAAGGCGACGACGGGUAGCCGGCCUGAGAGGGUGACCGGCCACACUGGGACUGAGAUACGGCCCAGACUCCUACGGGAGGCAGCAGUGGGGAAUAUUGCACAAUGGGCGCAAGCCUGAUGCAGCGACGCCGCGUGAGGGAUGACGGCCUUCGGGUUGUAAACCUCUUUCAGCACAGACGAAGCGCGAGUGACGGUAUGUGCAGAAGAAGGACCGGCCAACUACGUGCCAGCAGCCGCGGUAAUACGUAGGGUCCGAGCGUUGUCCGGAAUUACUGGGCGUAAAGAGCUCGUAGGUGGUUUGUCGCGUUGUUCGUGAAAACUCACAGCUUAACUGUGGGCGUGCGGGCGAUACGGGCAGACUGGAGUACUGCAGGGGAGACUGGAAUUCCUGGUGUAGCGGUGGAAUGCGCAGAUAUCAGGAGGAACACCGGUGGCGAAGGCGGGUCUCUGGGCAGUAACUGACGCUGAGGAGCGAAAGCGUGGGGAGCGAACAGGAUUAGAUACCCUGGUAGUCCACGCCGUAAACGGUGGGUACUAGGUGUGGGUUUCCUUCCUUGGGAUCCGUGCCGUAGCUAACGCAUUAAAGUACCCCGCCUGGGGAGUACGGCCGCAAGGCUAAAACUCAAAGGAAUUGACGGGGGCCCGCACAAGCGGCGGAGCAUGUGGAUUAAUUCGAUGCAACGCGAAGUAUCCUUACCUGGGUUUGACAUUGCACAGGACGCUGGUAAAAGAAUAUCAGCUUCCCUUGUGGGCCUGUGUGCAGGUGGUGCAAUG